CUAAAAAAUCACUUGGAAAAUCUCAACCAAAGAAGAUAAAAUCAAAAUGGUAAACAGAAUCCUACCCUGCAUACAAAAGGAGUUCCGAAUAGCUUAAAAUUCAGCACUGAGUCUAUGUAUAUGCUAAAGCUUCACCUUUGCAAGUUCCAUUUC